CUAAAUACUCCUGACUGACCGAUAGUGAACCAGUACCGUGAGGGAAAGGCGAAAAGAACCCCGGCGAGGGGAGUGAAAAAGAACCUGAAACCGUGUACGUACAAGCAGUGGGAGCACGCUUAGGCGUGUGACUGCGUACCUUUUGUAUAAUGGGUCAGCGACUUAUAUUCUGUAGCAAGGUUAACCGAAUAGGGGAGCCGAAGGGAAACCGAGUCUUAACUGGGCGUUAAGUUGCAGGGUAUAGACCCGAAACCCGGUGAUCUAGCCAUGGGCAGGUUGAAGGUUGGGUAACACUAACUGGAGGACCGAACCGACUAAUGUUGAAAAAUUAGCGGAUGACUUGUGGCUGGGGGUGAAAGGCCAAUCAAACCGGGAGAUAGCUGGUUCUCCCCGAAAGCUAUUUAGGUAGCGCCUCGUGAAUUCAUCUCCGGGGGUAGAGCACUGUUUCGGCAAGGGGGUCAUCCCGACUUACCAACCCGAUGCAAACUGCGAAUACCGGAGAAUGUUAUCACGGGAGACACACGGCGGGUGCUAACGUCCGUCGUGAAGAGGGAAACAACCCAGACCGCCAGCUAAGGUCCCAAAGUCAUGGUUAAGUGGGAAACGAUGUGGGAAGGCCCAGACAGCCAGGAUGUUGGCUUAGAAGCAGCCAUCAUUUAAAGAAAGCGUAAUAGCUCACUGGUCGAGUCGGCCUGCGC
rnacentral:rRNA from 1 species